rnacentral:misc_RNA from 1 species
UCCUGGUUAACCCAGGCAGUCUCCCUAGAGUGCCCAACUUAAUGCUGGCAACUAAGGAUAGGGGUUGCGCUCGUUGCGAGACUUAACCCAACAUUUCACAACACGAGCUGACGACAGCCAUGCAGCGCCUGUCUCCGCAUUCCCCGAAGGGCACUCCCUCAUCUCUGAAGGAUUCGCGGGAUUUCAAACCCAGGUAAGGUUCUGCGCGUUGCUUCGAAUUAAACCACAUAAUCCACCGCUUGUGCGGGCCCCCGUCAAUUCCUUUGAGUUUUAGUCUUGCGACCGUACUUCCCAGGCGGAGCACUUAAUGCGUUAGCUACGUCACGGCAAGGGUUAAUGCCUGCCACAACUAGUGCUCAUCGUUUACGGCGUGGACUAC